UACGUAGGGUGCGAGCGUUAAUCGGAAUUAUUGGGCGUAAAGCGUGCGCAGGCGGUGAUGUAAGACAGAUGUGAAAUCCCCGGGCUCAACCUGGGAACUGCAUUUGUGACUGCAUCGCUGGAGUGCGGCAGAGGGGGAUGGAAUUCCGCGUGUAGCAGUGAAAUGCGUAGAUAUGCGGAGGAACACCGAUGGCGAAGGCAAUCCCCUGGGCCUGCACUGACGCUCAUGCACGAAAGCGUGGGGAGCAAACAGG
rnacentral:rRNA from 1 species